rnacentral:rRNA from 1 species
GCCGUACGAUGAGUGCUAGUGUUGGAGGGUUUCCGCCCUUCAGUGCUGCAGCUAACGCAUUAAGCACUCCGCCUGGGGAGUACGACCGCAAGGUUGAAACUCAAAGGAAUUGACGGGGGCCCGCACAAGCGGUGGAGCAUGUGGUUUAAUUCGAAGCAACGCGAAGAACCUUACCAGGUCUUGACAUCCUUUGACCACUCUAGAGAUAGAGCUUCCCCUUCGGGGGCAAAGUGACAGGUGGUGCAUGGUUGUCGUCAGCUCGUGUCGUGAGAUGUUGGGUUAAGUCCCGCAACGAGCGCAACCCUUAUUGUUAGUUGCCAUCAUUUAGUUGGGCACUCUAGCGAGACUGCCGGUGACAAACCGGAGGAAGGUGGGGAUGACGUCAAAUCAUCAUGCCCCUUAUGACCUGGGCUACACACGUGCUACAAUGGGAAGUACAACGAGUCGCGAAGUCGCGAGGCUAAGCUAAUCUCUUAAAGCUUCUCUCAGUUCGGAUUGUAGGCUGCAACUCGCCUACAUGAAGCCGGAAUCGCUAGUAAUCGCGGAUCAG